GGGGACGUUACGGAUUCGACAGGGGUAGGUCGAGCUCAGGUUGCGCGUCGAGGUUACGACUCGUAAAACGUUAACGCCAAUAAUAACUGGCAAAGAAAACAAUUACUCUUUAGCAGCUGCCUAAGCACUGACUAAAGGAUCCUUCCUGCCAUCGCCCAUGUGGCAGAUUGAAGGGUCUCACUUAUUAGUGGGCUACGCUGUGAUCCUCCGUCUGGGGAUUUGCAGAAGAGACUAAUCAGACUAGCUGCUCGGACGCCUGUUGGUAGGCAGAACAGUUAGCGAAAUCGCGAAUAUACCAACUACACGUGUAGAAGCCUGAGUGCCGAUAUCCUUGGACGUGGGUUCGAUUCCCACCGUCUCCACCA
rnacentral:tmRNA from 1 species